GGUUUGAUCCUGGCUCAGAUUGAACGCUGGCGGGAUGCUUUAUGACAUGCAAGUCGAACGGCAGCACGGACUUCGGUCUGGUGGCGAGCGGCGAACGGGUGAGUAAUGUAUCGGAACGUGCCUAGUAGCGGGGGAUAACUACGCGAAAGGUAGCUAAUACCGCAUACGCCCUUCGGGGGAAAGCGGGGGGACCCUUCGGGCCUCGCACUAUUAGGAGCGGCCGAUAUCGGAUUAGCUAGUUGGUGGGGUAACGGCUCACCAAGCAGGGACGAUCCGUAGCUAUUUGAGAGGACGACCAGCCACACUGGGACUGAGGACACGGCCCAGACUCCUACGGGAGGCAGCAGUGGGGGAAUUUGGACAAUGGGGGAAACUCCUGAUCCAGCCAUCCCGCGUGUGCGAUGAAGGCCUUCGGGUUGUAAAAGCACUUUUGGCAGGAAAGAAACGGCACGGGAUAAUACCCCGUGCAACUGACGGUACCUGCAGAAUAAGCACCAUAACUACGUGCCAGCAGCCGCGGUAAUACGUAGGGUGCAAGCGUUAAUCGGAAUUACUGGGCGUAAAGCGGCGCAGGCGGUUCGGAAAGAAAGAUGUGAAAUCCAGAGCUUAACUUUGGAACUGCAUUUUUAACUACUGAGCUAGAGUGUGUCAGAGGGAGGUGGAAUUCCGGCGUGUAGCAGUGAAAUGCGUAGAUAUGCGGAGGAAUUAACGAUAGUUAAUAGCAGCCUCCUGAGAAUACUGAUGCCUGCGCACUGGCGUGGGGAGCAAACAGAUUAGAUACCCUGGUAGUCCACGCCCUAAACGAUGUCAACUAGCUGUUGGGGCUCGGGCCUUGGUAGUAGCGCAGCUACCUGGCAGUGAAGUUGACCGCCUGGGGAGUACGGUCGCAAGAUUAAAACUCAGCGAAUUGACGGGGACCUGCACAAGCGGUGGAUGAUGUGGAUACACCCGAUGAACGAUGGAAAACCUUACCUACCCUUGACAUGUCUGGAAUCCCGGAAGAGAUUUGGGAGUGCUCGCAAGAGAACCGGAACACAGGUGCUGCAUGGCUGUCGUCAGCUCGUGCCUGCGGAGAUGUUGAAGAGGUUCCGCGGUCGAGCGGCAACCUUUGUCAUUAGUUGCUACGAAAGGGCACUCUAAUGAGACUGCCGGUGACAAACCGGAGGAAGGUGGGGAUGACGGUCAGUCCUCAUGGCCCUUAUGGGUAGGGCUUCACACGUCAUACAAUGGUCGGGACAGAGGGUCGCCAACCCGCGAGGGGGAGCCAAUCCCAGAAACCCGAUCAGGUCCGAUCGCAGUCUGCAACUCGACUGCGUGAAGUCGUGGAAUCGCUAGUAAUCGCGGAUCAGCAUGUCGCGGUGAAUACGCUGUUCCCGGUCUGUACACACCGCCCGUCACACCAUGGGAGUGGGCUUUUAACAGAAGCGGUUGAAGCUCAACUGUAGCGCGAUACCACGGUAGGAUUCAUGACUG
rnacentral:rRNA from 1 species